rnacentral:tRNA from 1 species
GGAGUUGUGGCUCAGUGGGUAGAGCACUUGCCUAGCAUGUGUGAGGUGCUGGGUUUGAUUCUCAGCACCA